ensembl:lncRNA
AGGGAAGCUGGUUGUCAGUGUCACUGGCCUUGAAAAUAGGAGAAAGCCAUGGGUCUCUCCCAGGUUGGAGGACAGUGGUGAUUGCAGGACACGGAGAAGGAGUCUGGGUGGGCCCUGGAGGACAAGCAGCAGGCAGUUUCAUUUCCCUGACAGCAGCCCAUCUGUUUUUCCAGGCUUCUAACAGCCAUCCCUAUGACCUGCUUGUUGCUGAGCUGAAGAAGCUGCCUUAACUGUCCUGCAGGAGGAGGGGUGUAUGUCUCCAUCAUUGCUGGGGAUGGGACACCGAAGGCCAGGAAAGGUGAGAACUUGCCAAAAGACACGUAGCAAACACCAAGGCGGAACUGAGAAGAGAACUCAUCAACACUGGAUUCUUGGUUAACUCAAUUCAAAGGAAUAUCUGCCUUUUCACCCCAAAACCAUAUCAUCAACCACCUGUGAAGCUUGGAGCCAGCCACUUGGCCUCUCUGCCUCAAGUUUUCUCUUCACCUAUAAAAUAAGAGGAUAGCACUCAAUGUCCACAAAGCCUUCAUCUUCUCUGGACUACAGUGGUUCUACAAAGGCUUCAGUGAUCCAAAAUGCUGCCCCACAGCCUGGAUGGGAGGGGAGUUUGGGGAAGAAUGGAUGCAUGUAUAUGUAUGGCUUAGUCUCUCUGCUGUGCACCUGAGACAAUCACAGCAUUGUUAAUCAGCUACAUUCUAGUAUAAAAUAAAAAGCUACAAAAUAUUCUGCCCCAGCUUUGAUGUGACAACAGGAUUCUCACUAGCCCAACUCCUUUUAUA